CGUCCAUAUAAUAUACCUACAGAACAAAUAUAAUCAUAAUAUUAUACUUCGUUCGUUCGCAUUGUUUUUAAAAUUUCACAAUUUUUUUUUCUUAUUUAUUGUUAUUUUUUAUUUUUUGUUUAAGGGAAGAUUUAUAUACACAUUUGAAGGGGUAUAACACAGCUUUAGAAAAGUAAAAAAACAAAACAAAAAAAAAAACAAAAAUAAUAAUAACAAUAAACCAAAAAUAAAAGAAAAAGGAACACAAUUCCGACGAAAAUCAGCUUUUGUUUAUUUUAUAUCCGGAUACUCCAAACGAGAAAAGUGACUUCGGGGCGGGAGAAUAUGUGUUUGAAAACAGCCUUUGAGUCAAUAUUUUCAACGACAACGUCUUCGUAUGCUAACAACGCUUCGAUACGAAAGGAAAAAAUAACGUAUACUCGUAAAAGACGGUUCUUAUAACAGACGGUAGG